UCUCCUCCCCGCAAAAAAAAAAAAACAAAUCAAAAAGCCCGGCGAGGAGCUGAGCUUGCAUCUGCAACUGUGCAAAAGAGCCGGGGGUUCCCCCCGCUUUUCUUUGGAAGGGGCACUGCCCCCCUCCACGCCCCGGCUCAGCUCCUAGGGACAGCCAGGCCCCCCGCCCUGGGGAAGGGGCUCCAGCCAGGGGGGAAGCUGGAGAAGAGGGAAGUCACCCACACGCAUAUACACAUGUAUGUGUGUGAUCAUAUAUAAAUAAUAAUAUACAUGUGUUAGUGUGUGUGUGUGUGUGUGUGUGUGUACACACACACACACACACACACACACACACACACUUGGUGUCUGCACCCAGGCCAGAUCUAGGUGCAAAGCCAGCGCAUGUCCUUGGAAAGCGAUAAGUCCAACUUUCUUGCAGGGGAGACAAGUGUACGUAUUCAUGUUUAAAGCCUUGUGGGGCCUGCAGAGCCCGGUGGGGUGCUGGGGGCAUUUGCACCAGCAUCCCCGUCGUAGCAGGCUGGGCCGUCGCAGUGCUCCAGUCUGCAGUGACCACGCCUGCCCUGGUCCACUACACGGGGUUCAGCUGCACCAAGAUGCCCUGUUUGACGUUUUCCUACACACCGAGCUGUCCAGUGCCGCAUUCGGGAAUGUUUCCCCCUCUGUUCCCACUGAUCUGCCCUGUGUCGGUGGGAAGUAACCUCCAGGCAUUCGUGGCGUUUGGUGCCUGUUGUUAGAGGGGAAGGAGACCAUACAACUGGGGCGGGAGAAAGCAUCGGGCCACCCUCUCUUCCCUCUGGUCUCACACCCUUCUCAGAAGGGGCUUGAGGCCUGAAGUCCAAAAUACAGCCACCUCCCCCAGCAAUGCCCCAGGCUUUUGACUUGCUGCUGGGACUGGAAAUGGAGAAGACAGUGGAGCAUUAGAAAAGGGGGUUAAAAAAAAAAAAAAAGAGUGGCUAGAUUUGCAGCUUCAAGUGUGCAGUCCCAAGAAGUUGACCGACUUCUGGAUGUUCCUCCAACCAACCCAGCUGCAAACCCUCCCAGGUCCGGCCCUCUCUGCUGUAAACACAAGGAUUCAAUUACACUUUUUUGGCUGCAUUUCUAAAGCCAGAAGAACCCUUUAAAAGCUAAGUCUAGAACAAAAAAUACGGGAGCUCUUUACACAAGAGGUUCUUGUUCCCAGAGCUCCCAUGCCGAGCCAUAAAAGAGCACGACAGGUCCAGGAGAGGCAGGCAGAAGCGGCUCCAAAUUUAGAUUUUACAAAACGUAAAAAUAAAAUAAUAACAACAACUCUCCUUUUUAAAUGGAAGCAGCAAACACUCCCCGGGCAGCUUUUAGCCCCAAACAGGACAGGAAUUGAAGCAGACUUCAAUGCCUCUUUGUCUUGGAUGGGAGAAAUGCAACAAAAAAAGUAAACAGACUGCCACAACAGAGACAAGCAAACUGGGAUCUUGCAAGCAGCCCUGGUGUUCGUCCAGAGCUCGUCACGAGAAAUCAAGAAAGUAUUUGAAAUGGGGUGUUUAAUAAAAAACAAAGCCCCCCAAAACGCAGCCACCUGUAGUUGCGUUGGUGUUGGGGAAACGGGUCGCAUUGUCAGUGUUUUCCAGAGAUAUUCUUUAAAGACUAUUUUUAGGUUUCUGCCACAGUGCUUGAAGUAUUUCCUCCCCCCCCACAUAUAAGCAUCCUUCUGCAACAGAAGAUGCUUCCUACACUGCGUGGAAAUUCAGAGUCUAACCUCACCUGUAGGAAAGAUUUAAGGUGGGAUUGGGGGGGGGGGCAAAGAAAUCAUGGAAAGGAGGGCUGGAAGGGAUGGUCACAUCCAGCCCAACCCCCUGCUCAAAGCAGGACCAGCCCCAACUCCAUUAUCCCAGCCAGGGCUGUCUACCUGGGUCUUCAACACCUCCUAAAGGUAGAGAGUCCCCAAUUUCUCUGAGUAACCUGUUCUGAUGCUCCAUCACCCUCCUAGCGAGAGAGCUUUUCCUAAUAUCCAACCUCAACUUCCCUUGCUGCAACCUGCGCCCAUUGCUCCUUCUGUCGUCUGCCCCCACUGAGACCAGUCUAGCUCUUAACACGGAUCUCCUCAUUAAAAAAGGACCGCGCGUUUCCUUGUUGAAGCCAUUCAGUUCAAUCCCUAAGCUUCUCUCCGGUCCGACUUUUGGCCUGGCUUAUGUCCGCUGCAGCGUGGUUGCUUUCCCAAGCUUGUAAGAACAGCGAUCACCCGUCAGCCAAAGGGAUCUCGACACAAGCCGUUAGGUGGCACCGUUUAGCUUUGUUGUCAGAGUCUAAUUUUUCCCCUUGGAAAAUAACCCACCACAGAGGAGGCUGGCAAACAUCUCACUUGGGCGCUCUUAAAACGCUCCUGAGCAAUAGGAUGAUGAUUAUUUUUCUUGACGCGACUUCCCAUCCUUGUUUUCCACAGCCUGGCGUUUCUGCUCGCCUUCUUUCAGGCUCAGCAGACGGGAGGCUUUCGGUCUCUCUUCCCCGGCCGGACAGCCAGGAUGCUCCGGCCAGGAGCUUUUAGAGGCAUCGUGAUUUUUUGGCUUUUUUCCUUCCUAAUAACUAUUCGGGCAAUAGCUGCUUAUUGACUCAGCCUGACCCCACCGGGGGGGAGGGAUUGGAAGUGAAAUUCUCCCAAGAGAUCUUUGAUCUGUUUUGCCAGUCAACAAGAAAAAAAACCCCAAAAAAACAAACACUCGCUUAGAGACGAGAUCUUUUCUUCCUGGAACACAGCAGCAAUCCGCUCUUCUGAAAAAUCAUUAUUAGGCAGCCUCUGAAUAUUUUAAAUCGGGGGGGGGGGGGGGGUGUGCUUCUUGUGCGAGGCAAGAGCUGUAGUCUUACUGUGCAGUGCUAUUUGAAGCCAGCAAUCCCAGCAUUUAAAACUGGAAAACACACAACACACCUAUAUAACCAGCCCCCCUCCCUUUUUUUCCCCCCCCACCCCUGUAGGGUGGAUUGGUCUCAAAUAGAUUCCCUGAGCAAUUUGAGCUGUUAAAAGAAGCCCCCUCCAGGCUGCUAGAACGCAGCCCAGGUUUGCUCCCCAAGUCCUGAUCCUUUAGGCCUUUAAUGCAAUAUUGGGAAUAAUUAUUACAAGGCUUUGGUCCUUGAGAGGAGAACGGGGGGGGGGAACACCAGGGACUCCUGGACUCAGGUUAGAGUUUCUGCUCAAAGUCCAGGGGAGUUUUGCUCCAGUCCGUUAUCCAUGGGCAAAUAGAUGGUCCACGGGCACGGGUCCCCAAAUCCAUCCAGACAACCCUUGAUGAGACCUAGCCCCCUCCCCUGCCUCAGCCCACGCUUUCUGGCUCGGAUCUGCCGUGCGUGUGCGUGCGCUCACACGGAGCUCGGCUCCUUUUCUAACCCCUGCUCACACCUCCCUUCCCAAGCCAGACUUUGAAGGAUGGGAGGAGGGAGAAGCCACCGCUCUUUACAAGAUCUCACUUGCUGCGGAGUUCCCUGCCCCACUUCUCAGCCCGUCAAGGUUAUUUCAGCACGUUUCCAAAUAUUGUGACUGCACAAGAAACACACACAAAAAAACCAAAACAGCUCCAAAACAACCGCCCCCCCUCCCGGCAACUCCCCCGGGCAGCCGGCAGGUGGCGCUGCUGCCCCACACACAGGAACACACGGCUCACUUUUCACAACAGGGUGCCCCCCCCCAUUUCGGGACUGGGGGGGGAGGAGAAGAGUGGGGGUUGACAUCAAGUCCCAGCUGGCAUUGACACAGCAAACUGGAACUCUUCAAUUAAAUAAAUAAAUAAAUAAAUACACACACACAAAUCACCCCCCCCCCCCCCCCCGACACAUGCACACACAAAUCACACGCGCACACAAUCACAGCUUGCUGCCCUCCCCAGCCCAUCUCCCACCAUGGACUUGAGCUGGGCUCGGGCAGCGUACCCCGCUCCCACCCCACGACACCCGGGGCAGGGACCCCACGCUCGCCCCGGUGCCUCCCCGCUAACACGGGCUGGGCUUGCCACAGCGGCACUGGUCCCCCCCCCGGGAAAACAAAUGUGCUCGCGGCUCUCUUUGCUCCGGAGCCGCGCGGCUACCUCCAGGAAUAGCGUGUGGAAAGGGGCCAAGCUGAACUUCACUUGAGCUGCAGAUUUACGAGGCCCGUCUCUCUGCCAAGGGCUCGGCGGUAGUAAACAGUGCAUACACCAGGCAUAACCCGGGGGGCUGUCCCUGGGCCCGAGAGCAGGGAACAUUGGGGGGCGCGGCGGUGCUGGGCGCUGCCUGCAUCCCAUCCGCAGAGGCCCUGUGAACUCAUUGCACUGACUGUUUCCUUUUCGGGCGUCCCCCCACACUUUGCAAUUCACUGCCAUGGAGCUGGGGACCCCCAUCACAGAAAAAAAAGAAAGAAAGAAAAAACCCAACACAGACACAAUCCAGCCAUUGGGAGACGAGCCCGAGUCACGCAGAUGGAGGACACUACCGCACGCCUCGCCGCCCCAAACACCGGGCUCCAGCCCCAUUCCCUGACAUCCAGGCAGGUGCAAAGCCCCUGCCUCCCCCCCUCUCCCCAGCCCCAGCAGGGCGCAGACGUUUCCAAAAGGCAAGGGCAACGGGGAGAAAAAAAAAUCGUCUUUGACACGCACACAAACACCCCCGCCAGCCGCCCUCCACCCCUGCCGCCGGGACCCGCUGCAAAGCUCUCGGGUGGGCUCGGGGGAAACGUCGCCGCUGGCAAAUCUCGGCUCCUGCCCGUUGUCACUUCAUGUAAGCGGGGGGCGGCGGAGCAGCGCCAGCCCUGGGAAGCGCACAGCUGAGCCAAGGGGCAGGCAGCUCCGGGAAGGGAGGGACACAGAGGAGAGGAGCAAGGGCAGCAGCAGGCACAAGACAGCGGUGCAAGAGCCAUGCCAAAAGAAACCCCCAAACCCUAAAUUAAAAGGAACCAGAAAUGGGCACAAGAGCCAUGCCCAAAGAUCCCCCCCAUAAAACCCCAGGAGAAGGACAGCGCAGCAGCCAGAAAUGGCUCCAAAAAGAUCCCCCCAUCAAGCCCCAGGAGAAGGACAGCGCAGCAAGCAGAGAUGGGUGCAAAAGCCACGCCAACCCCCCCCCUAAAAAAAGAAAAA